rnacentral:lncRNA from 1 species
CUCUAAGCAGAUUCUUUGUUUUAAUAUCUUUUACUAUCCCUUUAGAAAACCUUGUCUAUAAUGAAGCCACUGGUGUUACUAACUGCAGUAUACCAAGAAAUGGAAGGAGUUUCUGGAACAAUGCUGUGAUGUGACUCCCAUUUGGUGACUUCUGGCCAAACUAGUUGUAUGAUUCACUUCCUCUCAAGUUACUGAAGGUGUUUCCCAGGAAAUGUGUCACCUCGGUGUCACAAUUGCUCAGCUAUGAAACUUAAAAUUGCCCACAUACAUUAUUUGUAAACUCAAGUUUCUCAAGUAUUAGGGAACCUAAUUCCAAAUUUAACUUGACCAUGCGUUUCUGAGCUGUGGCUGUCCAUUGAGCAUGUUUGCAUUGGUACUUAGUGACAUGAGAUUUCACUUUGAAAAACUAGUAGGAGGAUGCAUUUUUGCCUCUGCAACCUUGGAAGUACACACCUCAAACUCCUAUGAAAUUCCAUCUAAAAUACAAUUUCUAUGAAAGAUUUUGAAGUUGAAUUAUUUUACUUGAUUCCACCUUUUAUAUGAUAAUUCCUCUGACAAAUUUCUUUAGUUACUACUGAAAACCUGUUCAGAUAACACAAGUCUUUAAUUAGCUUUUACUAUUAGUUACUCAUGGUAUAAAGAUAUUUUGGGUAUAUGUGCUCCUUGCAUUAAAGCUUGACACUCAGUAGCUUCCCUUAAUACAGAUAUGUACUCUUUACAAGCUGUGAGGGAGACUUUAUCAUGCUCAAGGUUGUAUCUAAAGAGGUUCUAAAGGUACGGCUUGCAUCUGCACUUCUUUGACAAUUUCUGAUCAGGCUUAACUGGAGUUGCAGCUUUUGCCCACUGCUGGGGAAAAAAGCCAGUCACUGGUUCCUAACCUACACCAUGCACCUGUUCAUAGACUUGUCUCAAUUUUCUCAUCUGCAAUCUCUCCUGCAGUGCCAUAUACCCAUUCCAUUAGUAGCAAUCCAGAAGACUAAAAGAACUCUGCACCCCAAGCUAGCUGGAGACGAAAAUACCAAGCAUUUCUGCAACAGUAAUCACUGUGAAAGUAAGCAGGGACUUCAGAAACAGUCAUUCUAUCUUACGCUAUUCAGAGCAGGGAGCAAGUCCUUCCACUGUCAUCUCUUUUUCUGCUAAGUAUAUAGGGAGCCUCAGGUUCCUGAAUUUUGGGGCCUAGCACAUGCCUGGAACUAUUCGGGAAUCCUUUUUAAGUACACUUGUGUUGUGAUAUUCUGUUGAUCUUCAGAAAAAUCUGUUGUGUCUUUCUAAUCUGUUAUUAAAACUCUCACUGAGAGUGGUAGAAGUACUGAGGAAAAGAACGCUGAAAUUCAAAGUAUGCAUAAGCACUUCCAAAUGUACAGUUAUUCUAUAAUGUUCUUCUGUUAUUUUGACAGCAAUAUAAGAAAACAAAUGUCAAAAAAAAAAAAAAGUAGCUUUCCAACAUUUGUGUAGCUGCUUUGAAAGAUGUCCUUGCAAUUUCCCCAAUGAGCUGAUGGAUGUUCUCAGUGAAGUCUCCUCAGCAUGUAAACAGAUACAUCUCCUCUGAGGUAUUCUGCUGUAAUCUGACAGUUUUGAAACUGGAGUGCCUACUUUAGCUGGGAUUGUCUGUGGUGCCAGUGUCUAAUGUUUCUUUAACUCUUUGGAUGGCAGUAACCAGUGACAAACUUAUGAGCUGAUUUUUGUGUUAGCUCACAGAUGGACUCUUAUUUAUGCUAAUAUACAAACACUGAUUGCAGACAAAAGCUUUGCAAGAAAGUACACAUGAGCCAAUGAAGAAGACAAGGUAGUUGGGGCAGAUCCACAGAUAAUCCGACUGGCUUAGCACAGUGUGAGAGAAAAUUAAUACAUUAUAUAGAGUUUGCUUUUUUUGAAGUUGUUUUUUUUUUUUUUUUUUUAAACUGGAAUGAAACUUCAGCAGCAGAAGGGCACUUCCUUACUCAAUGACUAGUAGCAAAACAGACUUUUAUGGAACCAAAGUUGUGAAUGUGACUAUGUGCCUGUUUUCUUGCAUACGUAGAGCUAGGGCUCUACAUGAAUGAGAUCCAUGAUUUCCUGUUACACUUUACAGUUCAUUCACUUUACAUUGUUUUCUUUUUUCCUGGCAGUAUGAAAAUGGUGAUAAUGUUAUUUACCAAUGCAUGUAUUUUCUGUAAAAAUUCUGUAUGUACAAAUCUCCAAGAACUGCUGGAGAUUGGUCCACCAGAGGAAGACAGCUGUGGUAAACCUCCCCAGAAGGAUAUCAAGCCCAUGGAAGUGGAUCUACCCCAAGACUAAGAGGAGACCAUGGACCCAUAUAUGGUGCAACAAUUGCAGUGGGACACCACGCUUAACAUGACUGUGAAAAACCUGUAUUAACACAGUGCAGAACUCCAGGUGUUGUAAGCAACAUGGGACAGGACACGGACUCGAUCAGCGUGCUGAUGUGCAUCUAUGUCACAGGGUGAUCUCUACCUAAAAGGCCAAAAAAGGACUUUAUCUCUCCAGCUCUAAGUGACUGGAUAGUUCUCAGUGGAAAAACAAGGAAGCACUGAUGGUUAUUACAUGAGAGGUCUUACCUGAAAAUUCUCCUAAAUAAGACAUGAACUAUGUCUGCGGAUAGUCUCCUAUGCUGAGAGAAUCAAAAAAGCACAGAUGAGCUGUUAACAACUUUCCAUCUUUGUAAUAAGCUCUGGGGGAGAAGUCAGAAAGAAACAAUAACCCAUGUGGUGACCAUGGAUUACCUCCAAAUAUGGAGAAAGCCAAAGAGACUGCCCUGAAGCUAUGCGAUCAGUGCAGCAGCCACUGGUGGCUUGUGACAAUGGUUAGAAAGAAAGAGCAAAGAGAAGGAGAUUUACAGACAUUCAGUACAAGUAGAUGACUGAGCCCAAGGUAGAACCAUGAGGCUUGGGAGCAAAACUGACAGACAAGACUUGGACAGCAACCCUCGUGAACCUGUGAAUUUAAUUUUUUUAUGCUCAGAAUGGUCUUCUAGUGUGGCUCUCUGAAUCUCCCUUGGAAUGUAUGGCAGAUGUCUGUAAUUUCCUCAGCUUGUGUUGCCUUCUAAACCAAAGCCUGGGUUUCAAUCACCUUGUGUUGCUGUGGUUUGUGCCUGCUGACUCCGGAAAACAGAGAAGAGCUCAGGAUAGAUCUGCCUCCCUCUUUUUUAGGACUUAAAGAAGUUGUUACCUACUUGUCUUCAGAAUGUAUCCAUCUGGGAUAAUGUUUCCCAUUCACAUUAAUUUAUUUAUCAAUAUUGCUGUCUUCAGCUAUUUUCCUCUGCAUAUCAUUGCCACAUCAGUUUUAUUACAGAGAGGUAACUGCUGCAACACCAGCUUUAUACCUUUACCUUUCAAAAUUUUGCAGAUCUGUGGUCAAUCAAUCACUCGGUUCUUAAGAUGAGAUUCUGUUCCUCGAAUUUGAUGCCUUGGAUCAUUUUAACCUUCGUGAUGAAAUGCUGUUGUUCGAAACUUGCCAUUAUAUGUUUAAUCUUGCUAAACAGACAGUGUGAUACACGAAAUGGAAAGGACUUUUUUUAUUAUUGUUCUUUAAAUAUUGAAGGAACACUGUCCACGAAAUAUAGCUAAAACUGUCUGCUCUUUCACACUCUUGGAAAUUAAUUCUUUUUUGCUUGUAUGUUCUUAUGCCGAG